rnacentral:rRNA from 1 species
GACGAACGCUGGCGGCGUGCCUAAUACAUGCAAGUUGAGCGCUGAAGGUUGGUACUUGUACCGACUGGAUGAGCAGCGAACGGGUGAGUAACGCGUGGGGAAUCUGCCUCUGAGCGGGGGACAACAUUGGGAAACGAAUGCUAAUACCGCAUAAAAACUUUAAACACAAGUUUUAAGUUUGAAAGAUGCAAUUGCAUCACUCAAAGAUGAUCCCGCGUUGUAUUAGCUAGUUGGUGAGGUAAAGGCUCACCAAGGCGAUGAUACAUAGCCGACCUGAGAGGGUGGUCGGACACAUUGGGACUGGGACACGGCCCUAACUCCUACGGGAGGCAGCAGUAGGGAAUCUUCGGCAAAGGACGAAAGGCUGAACGAGGAAAGCCGGGGGAGUGAAGGAGGUUGUCGGAUCGUAAAACUCUGUUGGUAGAGAAGAACGUUGGUGAGAGUGGAAAGCUCAUCAAGUGACGGUAACUACCCAGAAAGGGACGGCUAACUACGUG